AAAGAAUCUAUACUGUGAGGGUCUUAAUGAUAUUGUUUCCAAUAUACAAUAUUAGUUUGUUCUUUUAAAGAUAGAAUUAGAACAUUAGAUGUACAUAUAAAGAGGGAAAAUUUUUUGAUAGAAAAUUAAUUAAAAUGACAAAAAAAAGAAUCAUGAAAUGGUUAAUUUUAUGCUUUUUGAUAUUGCAGAUGGUUCAAAUAGCAAAAGCUUCAACUUGUCUUCAUCGAUGCCAAGAUGACUGCGACCACGGGAAUUACCCAUUUUUUUGCAAGAUCCUUUGCCCUCCAUAUUGUGCAACUCACCUUGAACAUGGUAAUAUUAAUAUGAUGAUUAAGGAUUAUUAACGAUUUAAACAUGUAUUAAUAUACGUAAAUAUGUGUUUUUAUUUUCUUACUUUCUGCAACACCUUCCUUAAUAUGCAGUUAGAGACACCAACGAAACCAAAGUGUAAUGGCAGCAUUUAUGCAUGGACUUCUUCGUAGGAAAUAAUGGGGAUCGCCAUGUUUAGGCUCAUCCUCUCCUUUUCUUUUUGUUUGUCU
rnacentral:lncRNA from 1 species